UACGUAGGUGGCAAGCGUUGUCCGGAUUUACUGGGCGUAAAGAGCUCGUAGGCGGCUUGUUGCGUCGACCGUGAAAACCCGGGGCUCAACUUCGGGCUUGCGGUCGAUACGGGCGGGCUAGAGUUCGGUAGGGGAGACUGGAAUUCCUGGUGUAGCGGUGAAAUGCGCAGAUAUCAGGAGGAACACCGGUGGCGAAGGCGGGUCUCUGGGCCGAUACUGACGCUGAGGAGCGAAAGCGUGGGGAGCGAACAGG
rnacentral:rRNA from 1 species